CUGCGUCCCUGAGUGUCCACGAGGAUACAGGAAGCAAGUAACAACACCUGACAAUUCAACUGCACAAGCCCUUCAAGAGCAGUGUGAAGAUAUAAACGAGUGUCUGGAGGAGAGGUGUGAGUGGCAGUGUGUCAACCUGCCAGGCUCUUUCCGCUGCGUUUGUCCCAGAGGACACACACGACACGGAGACGGACACCAGUGCAAGGACAUUAAUGAGUGCACUCGCAAGAACGGAGGUUGUUCGCACUGGUGCGUGAACCAGAAGGGAGGAUAUAAGUGCGCCUGCCCGUCGUCCCAUCGCCUCUCACACUACAGCUGGAAGAAAUGUUUACCAAGAACAACAGCGCACACUGCUGGCUGAUCUGGAAUGUGGCGUAAAAAAAGAAAAUAACAAUAAUGUCUUUUUUUAAUUUCUUGAUAAAGUUCUUUAUGUGUAUGUAUGUUCGUAAUAUAAAAAGUAACGUGGUCCAAUUUAAAGCAACACUCAGUUUUUAUUAUUUUUCUAUGAACAUUGUUUGAAAAUGUCAUAAAAUAAAUGUACUUUUCGAUUAUAUUAUAAGGAUAAAAUAGCUUUUAAUGUUAGAUAGUUAACUGGCUUAACGUUUUAUAAUAGUAGACUUACAAAUCUAAACAAACUAAGACAGUAUC